rnacentral:rRNA from 1 species
AAAAUCCGUUUAGACAAUGCUAGGAUGUGAUGGGGAAGCCCUUCGGGGCGAAGUAGCUGAUUUCACACUGUCAAGAAAAGCUUCUAUCGAGUUUAAAGGCGCCCGUACCGUAAACCGACACAGGUGGGUGAGGAGAGUAUCCUAAGGCCAGCGAGAGAACUAUUGUUAAGGAACUCGGCAAAAUGACCCCGUAACUUAGGGAGAAGGGGUGCCUGUCUAUGACAGGCCGCAGAGAAUAGGCCCAUGCGACUGUUUACCAAAAACACAGGUUUCUGCUAAGUCGCAAGACGAUGUAUAGGAGCUGACGCCUGCCCGGUGCUGGAAGGUUAAGGGGAUCUGUUAGAGCAAUCGAAGCAGUGAACUUAAGCCCCAGUAAACGGCGGCCGUAACCAUAACGGUCCUAAGGUAGCGAAAUUCCUUGUCGGGUAAGUUCCGACCCGCACGAAAGGCGUAACGAUUUGGGCACUGUCUCAACAAUAGACUCGGUGAAAUUGUAAUCCCGGUGAAGAUGCCGGGUACCUGCGACAGGACGGAAAGACCCCAUGGAGCUUUACUGUAGCUUGACGUUGGGUCUUGGUACUACAUGUACAGGAUAGGUGGGAGACUAUGAAGCAUGGACGCCAGUCUGUGUGGAGUCAUCCUUGGGAUACCACCCUUGUAGUACUGGGAUCCUAACCAUAGGCCUUGAAUCAGGUCUUGGAACACCGUCAGGUGGGCAGUUUGACUGGGGCGGUCGCCUCCUAAAAAGUAACGGAGGCGCUCAAAGGUUUCCUCAGCACGGUCGGAAAUCGUGCGAAGAGUGUAAAGGCAAAAGGAAGCUUAAUUGCAAGACAUACAGGUCGAGCAAGGACGAAAGUCGGACUUAGUGAUCCGGUGGUACCGCAUGGAAGGGCCAUCGCUCAACGGAUAAAAGCUACCCUGGGGAUAACAGGCUUAUCUCCCCCAAGAGUCCACAUCGACGGGGAGGUUUGGCACCUCGAUGUCGGCUCAUCACAUCCUGGGGCUGUAGUAGGUCCCAAGGGUUGGGCUGUUCGCCCAUUAAAGUGGUACGCGAGCUGGGUUCAGAACGUCGUGAGACAGUUCGGUCCCUAUCCGUCGCAGGCGUAGGAAAUUUGGGAAGACCUGUCCUUAGUACGAGAGGACCGGGAUGGACGUACCUCUGGUGUACCAGUUGUUCUGCCAAGGGCAUGGCUGGGUAGCUAUGUACGGAAUGGAUAAGCGCUGAAAGCAUCUAAGCGCGAAGCCAACUUCAAGAUAAGAUUUCCCACCGUAAGGGUAAGACCCCAGGAAGACUACCUGGUUGAUAGGUCGAAGGUGUAAGUGCAGUAAUGUAUUUAGCUUAUCGAUACUAAUAGGUCGAGGACUUGAUC